rnacentral:lncRNA from 1 species
AUGUGAUCAGGCUGAGCACAUGGCCUCAUGGAUUACACACUUUUCGGCGCUUAACGUGAAAACAAUUUAAGGACAAGAUUCACAAGCAUUCAAUUUAUGCUUAAAUGUACAUGCGAUACAUUAUGCAUAUGAAUAUAGUUCACGAUAGUAUCGCAUAUGGAAGUAACUGGAAUAAAUUUGGACUAUUUCCUCCGGAUGUUUACAUGACUGUGCUGUCAAAAGGCCUCCCAUGUGUUUACAUAUUUGACAGGUCGAGUUGCUCUUGCAGGAACGACGAUAAGAUGAAUACCUGCACCAUGGAAAUAUUGUAGAUCUAAUUUGUAAACUGUCGUGGAACCUGUGUUCGGCUCGCACAUUUCCUAUUCAACAAGAAUGCAUGAUGGAGACCAACAGUACAGAAAGGCUAAUGUCAAUAUUCAUAGAGUCUACAAUAUUCUUGUAUGAAAAAGAAACGAUGUCUAUGAAGAAGUAAAUUGAUCCAAAUAAGCAAUUGGACAAUGAAUGUUAUAAUUACCAAGAAGAAGACUGCAUUUUAUACAGUUGAAGUAUGAUAUAGUGAAUAAAUACCCUCAAUGCAGCCUUAUGGGGCUUUGGCUGGACCAUGAACAGUAGACAUCAAAAAGAUGCACAUCUAAAGGGCCGCAAGUGUUCGAAGCAUUGGUCAACAAAACAAAAGCAAAAAAAACAAAAACAAAAAAAAAACAACUGAACUAUUUGAUGGAUCAUACGGAAUGUACAAUCAGAUUUCCAGAAUCAGAGAUAUAGAAGUAUCAAGUGUUAGAGUUAGGAAAAUAUGCAACAUGCAUGAAGACCCUGCCUAAUAGAUUAAUUUGCAAAAUACAUUGAAAUCUCACAAUUGCUAAUGGAAGUUAAGGAUGGAGUACUCUUCUGGAAAAUAUGUGUCCAGACAAUACUGCAACAACGUUGUUUCUUUUUUCCAAUUUUCUAAGCAUAAUUCUACAUAUUAAUUAUACAUAAAAAUUGUAACAUAGUUACAUGAAUAAUACAAAACGUGUAGUCAUAUUUCCAGACAUAAACUGGGAGAAUCAGAGAAGAAAUAUCAAGAAUUAUGGAAAAAGAAAUGUCUGUCAUGUAUGAGGAACCUGCUUUAUAUAAAUUUACAAAAUACAAACAAAGUCAAUUAUUUAAACCUGAUUUCAAGACGCAUAAUCAAACUCGAUCUGUACUAGAGCGCCUACUACAUCCGAUUUACAUUUGGAACAUUUUCACGCGUUUUGGGCUUUAUCGUAUGUUUAACAUGGGACUGUUGAACCGUCCAAAUACAGAAAAUACAGGAUUUUUUGUACUCACGUGCGUCCAAAUACAGAAGAUUUUUUGUACUCACGUGCGUCCAAAUACAGAAAAUACAGGAUAUUUUGUACGCGAUUGGAUAGAUAAAAUGGAUAAAGAAUAAAUCUUAAUAUUUUACUAUCUUGAUUUUAAGCAUUUAAUUCCAUAGUAUGCUUACAGUGUGAUUUGCAGGUUGUGCUUUCUCAAAAACUUGGUAUUACUUAACCAGUGUUUUUGUGAUUAAGUAUCUCUGUGAUAUGUUUUGUUUGUUAUAUUUGUCCACUAGAUUUUUGUCUCUACAUAUUGAAUUUAAUUAGCUAUGAUAAGUUCACCUGUGAUAUGCAAAUUAAUUGUGAAUUCAAAGUUUUAUAUCGGUGUCUUUAAGUUUGCCUCUCUGUGCCAUGCCACCAAUAUUAUUAGGACCUGAAUGAAAAUAAUCGCUGGCGUAUUAUGCCCCACCCCCUUCGAAGAAGGAGGGGUAUAUUGUUUUGCAGAUGUUGGUCGGUCUGU